rnacentral:lncRNA from 1 species
AUUCCGGUACAGAGGGAGGAGGGAGGGGUAAAAUUACCUCACAAGAGGUGAAGUAAGAUUUGUCUAAUAACCCGUUUAGGGUGUGAAGACAAAUGUAAAUGGGUCGUGAUAACGUCCACACGUGUGGGCGUUAAGGGCUGUUGCCACACGUCAUGUGUGGUGUGUAAGGAAAACAGCCCACACGCAUGCGUGUGGACAAAACAGUUAAUGCCCACAACGCAUGCAUGCAUGUGGGUUUUCUUUUUGGAUUUUCCAGUUUUUAAAAUGUCUUAUCUUGUAUAUGAAAAAUCCGAUUGAACAUCUGUUUUCACCAUUAAAUCCAUCGCGACGAGAUCUUCAAAACUAGAUCUCAUAUCAAUAUAUGUCGAUGAAUUUUUUCGAGCAACAGUUGCCAUGAUUUUGCACUGUAGUUGCCAUGGUGUUUACCCUGAAGUUGCCGUGAUAUGUUUGAGCUAUUUUUUCUUCUACAUUUAAAACUAAAUUUUGACAUAUUAUAAAAUGGGGAAUAAAGAAACUAGAGUUGCCAUGAACCAUAAACUAAAAUUGCCAUGGUGAAAAAAUUACCAUGGUCAAUUAAUAAAAAUUGCAAUAAGAAGUAGUUAAAAAUAUAACAGUAGCUUUAAAUCUAGAAGAAAAAAAUAGGUAGAACAUGUCAUGGCAACUUUAGUGUAAACACUACGGCAACUACAGUUUAAACAUCAUGGCAACUUUUGGUCGAAAAAAUCAUCAAUCAUGGUCAAAAUUCUAAACUAUCCAUGAUCUAUAAACUAAAUUUGCCGUGAUGGAUUACUAAAAAUUGUCAUGAUCCAUGCAUUAAAUUUUCUGUGGUUAAUUACUAAAAAUUACCAUGGUCAAUUAAUAAAAAUUGUCGUAAAAAUAGUUGAGAAUAUAACGAUAGCUUUAAAUCUAGAAGAAAAAAUAGAUAGAACAUGGCAUGGCAAUUGUAGUGUAAACACUAUGGCAACUACAGUGUAACAUCAUGGAACUAUUGCCGAAAAAAUCCAUCGAAACAUAUCAACAUGUGAUCUAGUUUUGAAGAUCUCGUCGAGACGGAUUUAAUGGUGAAAACAAAUUUUUAUUUGGAAUUUUUUAAGUAGUAGAUAAAACAUGUUUAAACCGAAAACCAAAAAAGAUUCCUGCUGAGAAAGAAACGGGAGUGUGGGCAUAGUGGUUAAAUGCCAACACACCAACCUAGACCUACGUGGCACAAAAAACUGCUAAAAAAUACCAAGAUUAGUGCAAAGCACAAACGAACGCAUAUCCAUGCGUGUGAGCAGUUUACAAACGCCCACACAUGUGGGUAUUAUCUUUUCUCAAUUAAAUUUACCCGAGCAGGCACAAAUCUUAUCGAUGGGAGAGGUGCGAUUCAGCGUAUACUGGCUCGGUCGUUCGACUGUUCUUC